GACGAACGCUGGCGGCGUGCUUAACACAUGCAAGUCGAACGGAAAGGCCCUGCUUUUGUGGGGUGCUCGAGUGGCGAACGGGUGAGUAACACGUGAGUAACCUGCCCUUGACUUUGGGAUAACUUCAGGAAACUGGGGCUAAUACCGGAUAGGAGCUCCUGCUGCAUGGUGGGGGUUGGAAAGUUUCGGCGGUUGGGGAUGGGCUCGCGGCUUAUCAGCUUGUUGGUGGGGUAGUGGCUUACCAAGGCUUUGACGGGUAGCCGGCCUGAGAGGGUGACCGGCCACAUUGGGACUGAGACACGGCCCAGACUCCUACGGGAGGCAGCAGUGGGGAAUAUUGCACAAUGGGCGGAAGCCUGAUGCAGCAACGCCGCGUGCGGGAUGACGGCCUUCGGGUUGUAAACCGCUUUCGCCUGUGACGAAGCGUGAGUGACGGUAAUGGGUAAAGAAGCACCGGCUAACUACGUG
rnacentral:rRNA from 1 species